rnacentral:rRNA from 1 species
AUACGUAGGGGACAAGCGUUGUCCGGAAUGACUGGGCGUAAAGGGCGCGUAGGCGGUCUAUUAAGUCUGAUGUGAAAGGUACCGGCUCAACCGGUGAAGUGCAUUGGAAACUGGUAGACUUGAGUAUUGGAGAGGCAAGUGGAAUUCCUAGUGUAGCGGUGAAAUGCGUAGAUAUUAGGAGGAACACCGGUGGCGAAGGCGGCUUGCUGGACAAAUACUGACGCGGAGGUGCGAAAGCGGGGGGAGCGAACAGGAUUAGAUACCCUGGUAGUCCACGCCGUAAACGAUGAAUGCUAGGUGUUGGGGAAACUCAGUGCCGCAGUUAACACAAUAAGCAUUCCGCCUGGGGAGUACGACCGCAAGGUUGAAACUCAAAUGAAUUGACGGGG